GACGAACGCUGGCGGCGUGCUUAACACAUGCAAGUCGAACGGAAAGGCCCUGCUUUUGUGGGGUGCUCGAGUGGCGAACGGGUGAGUAACACGUGAGUAACCUGCCCUUGACUUUGGAAUAACUUCAGGAAACUGGGGCUAAUACCGGAUAGGAGCUCCUGCUGCAUGGUGGGGGUUGGAAAGUUUCGGCGGUUGGGGAUGGACUCGCGGCUUAUCAGCUUGUUGGUGGGGUAGUGGCUUACCAAGGCUUUGACGGGUAGCCGGCCUGAGAGGGUGACCGGCCACAUUGGGACUGAGAUACGGCCCAGACUCCUACGGGAGGCAGCAGUGGGGAAUAUUGCACAAUGGGCGGAAGCCUGAUGCAGCAACGCCGCGUGCGGGAUGACGGCCUUCGGGUUGUAAACCGCUUCCGCCUGUGACGAAGCGUGAGUGACGGUAAUGGGUAAAGAAGCACCGGCUAACUACGUGCCAGCAGCCGCGGUGAUACGUAGGGUGCGAGCGUUGUCCGGAUUUAUUGGGCGUAAAGGGCUCGUAGGUGGUUGAUCGCGUCGGAAGUGUAAUCUUGGGGCUUAACCCUGAGCGUGCUUUCGAUACGGGUUGACUUGAGGAAGGUAGGGGAGAAUGGAAUUCCUGGUGGAGCGGUGGAAUGCGCAGAUAUCAGGAGGAACACCAGUGGCGAAGGCGGUUCUCUGGGCCUUUCCUGACGCUGAGGAGCGAAAGCGUGGGGAGCGAACAGGCUUAGAUACCCUGGUAGUCCACGCUGUAAACGGUGGGUACUAGGUGUGGGGUCCAUUCCACGGGUUCCGUGCCGUAGCUAACGCUUUAAGUACCCCGCCUGGGGAGUACGGCCGCAAGGCUAAAACUCAAAGGAAUUGACGGGGCCCCGCACAAGCGGCGGAGCAUGCGGAUUAAUUCGAUGCAACGCGUAGAACCUUACCUGGGUUUGACAUGGAUCGGGAGUGCUCAGAGAUGGGUGUGCCUCUUUUGGGGUCGGUUCACAGGUGGUGCAUGGCUGUCGUCAGCUCGUGUCGUGAGAUGUUGGGUUAAGUCCCGCAACGAGCGCAACCCUUGUUCACUGUUGCCAGCACGUUAUGGUGGGGACUCAGUGGAGACCGCCGGGGUCAACUCGGAGGAAGGUGGGGAUGACGUCAAGUCAUCAUGCCCCUUAUGUCCAGGGCUUCACGCAUGCUACAAUGGCUGGUACAGAGAGUGGCGAGCCUGUGAGGGUGAGCGAAUCUCGGAAAGCCGGUCUCAGUUCGGAUUGGGGUCUGCAACUCGACCUCAUGAAGUCGGAGUCGCUAGCAAUCGCAGAUCAGCAACGCUGCGGUGAAUACGUUCCCGGG
rnacentral:rRNA from 1 species